UCGCCCAAAAAAUUUGUAUAUAACUUUUACAUGUGAACAAAUAUAAUUUGAGAAUUGCGUUUUCAAAAUUUAGGGAUAAAAAGACGUUGAAAUUCGCUUAGAGCAUGAUGAUUGGCAAACUUUCACUUGUAAUUUUAUUGUUAUUUCUUUUGGAUAUAAGUGAUUCUAAACCACAAGGGUGCAUAUCUAUUCGAUAUCGAAGGGCGUGCACAAACAAUAUUAUCCAAAGAUCAGAUGCGAUGAAAAGACAACGCGAUGAGUAUGAUAGAAGUACGAAUAAAGUUAAGGACGAUAUAUUGCUUGAUUUAUAUAACGUUUUCAACGAACCAAGCUGAUUAUCGUUUUCAAUGAUUAAAAAAAAGAUAAAAAAUUUUAAUAGUUUUAUAUGCAGCAAACAGUGAAAUAAAGUUUGCUAAUAAAUGCGAGAAAACAAGUUGAGUGGGUAUUGUGCAGAUAACAAAAAAAAUUAUUAUUAAUUUGAGAAAUAA